ensembl:lncRNA
AAGAAAUUCUUGCUAGUCUAUUGUCUACAUAAUCUUGAUCUGUCUUGGACUGAAGAACAUUGCACUUAGCCCAAUACCAAGCACAAAUAAGUCCUUAUGAAACACAUUCAAUAAUGAAAAUCAGCCAAUAAAACAUUCUGUUAACUUUGUAAUGCAUGCCUCACCACAAAACACAGAGCAUGAAUAGUCUUGACUCGGGAGCAUUUUACAACUUAUUUCUGAUUAACUUUAUGUAUUUUUCAUGGGUGGAAAACAAAGAUAUAGGUGGCAUAUAAAGAAAUAAAUAGUUCUUAACAAAGAAGAUGUCUAAAGGAAGAUGAUUGUAAUACCAAGGAACACCAGAGUCUUUAUCAAUAUUACCAUAGUCAUAACCAUCUUUCUUUGAGAUCAUCAUUUAGCUUUGUAAGUGAUCUUCUUACUUUUCUUCUUCUCUCCUUAUUAUCUGCCCAUUACUGAACAGUCACAUUCCUCUCUGGUAAACAUAAAUCAAACCAGUCUUUCCCAGUUAAAAUCUUCUAAAGGCCACCAACCCACUCAGAGUAAAACCUAAACUUCUUAAACUAAUUGGGAAAGGAGACUGCUAUUGUUCAAAAGGAGUUGGAAGAAGAAGUAAUGAUUACAAGAGGAGAAUAAUCUAUUCAUCUGUUUUGUUCUUGAGAAACUUUCUUGGACAAAACAAAGCUUACUUUAUCCAGUGCUUGUCUGACCCACUAGACUCAGCUCUGCUCAAGAUUGUCUAAUCUGAUGUUCCGGAAUUGAGAUAAUUUCUACUUGAAGAUGUCCCAACAGCUGUUUGGUAGUACAAGUUCCACCAAACACACCAAUGAUUGACAGUCCAGCUUAAAGAGAAAGACAGGAGAACUAGAGGGAUCACCCCCAGAAACAUGAAGAGUCCACACCUGAGGGGCCACAAAGGGC